rnacentral:rRNA from 1 species
GACGAACCGUGCGAACGUUGUUCGGAAUCACUGGGCUUAAAGGGCGCGUAGGCGGCUCGCCAAGUCGGGGGUGAAAUCUUGCCGCUUAACGGCAAAAGAGCUUCCGAUACUGGCGGGCUGGAGGGGGAUAGGGGUGCGCGGAACUUCCGGUGGAGCGGUGAAAUGCGUAGAUAUCGGAAGGAACGCCGGUGGCGAAAGCGGCGCACUGGAUCCCCACUGACGCUGAGGCGCGAAAGCCAGGGGAGCAAACGGG